rnacentral:rRNA from 1 species
CGCGUAGGCGGUCGGGUAAGUCGGGUGUGAAAUUCCGGGGCUCAAACCCCGUGAACUGCACUCGAUACUGCUCGACUAGAGAGAGGUAGGGGCGAGUGGAAUUCCCGGUGUAGCGGUGGAAUGCGUAGAUAUCGGGAAGAACACCGGUGGCGAAGGCGGCUCGCUGGGCCUCUUCUGACGCUGAAGCGCGAAAGCGUGGGGAGCAAACA